GAACACCUUCUGAUUUUCAAAUAUCUCUUAAAUUGUUCUAGGGCUAAACCUUGGCCUAAGGAGAAGUGAAUGUCAACAAAACCACAACAGAGAUGUUCUGAGUGUCUGUGUGUAUUUAAUCAUACUGAUUAGCGCUGGGCCUUCUGUGCAGUACUACAGAUGAUUGUUCUAGCUGAGAAGUCUGGUAAUGCCUUUGCCAAUACAUGUGAAGAAAUAGCAUUCACAGUAUCAAGAAAGAGCCUUGUAGUGGAAUAUGAUUCAAGCCACCUGAAUUUGUAAUGUGAAGCAUAGAAUGGACCCUUGCUGCUGUGUAGAGAACUGAACUCCAAUGCGAAGGACAAGAGCACAUAGAUUUUGAUAAUGCACGGCUAAUUCCAGGCUGACUUCCAAAUUCAUGGCAAGGACUCCUGAGUGAUGGCUUCCAAGGUACUGAUUGGCUAGGAGAGGUUAUGACUCCUUUACCAACUGCAGUGUGGAGACUAGUGUUCCGCUGUUGGAGCCAACUUAACAGAAAUGACUAAGACUGGAUCUCUGCCCAAGGAAGGAAUGGUACACUGAGAGUGAAGGAUGAACAAAAAUUUACAAUACAAAAGAAAUGUUAAUAAAAUACUCUCAGAUUGCAAAAGGAGAAGACAAUUCUUUCUGGAUUGCAGAUUGUGGAAGUCAGGAAAGACUCAAGAGGAUAAAAUAUUUGGAUAAAUCCUAAAAAUGAUGAAGACAUAGUAGAUGGAGCCUUAAUAAGGCUAAGGCAUGAGGUGGUGUUGGGAGUGGCAUCCAGAAGAAGGAUGAUGCUGGCAUUGGAUUUAUGGAGAUAUUCAAAUCAAGGGCUUCAGAACUGUGGCACUGAGGAGAAAAUGAUUUGUAGAAGGUAAAAACAAAAACAGAACAAAACAAGAUGACUCUGCAUGUGCUACAAAAUUGAGGAUUUGUCACUAAAGUGCAGCACAGACUGAGAGAUGCUAUAUGUCUAGAUGCCCCAGCCUGACACUACUUCCUCCUAGGAUCUUACAUCUACGUUUCUGACUGUCACAGCAUUUUAUUUCACUUGAUGCUUUCCCCCACCAGUAUCCUCGUGAGCACGUAAGGGCAUAUUUAACACAGAGGAAAUUGAGGCCGAGAGAUUUAUUCUCAGUGCAAAGCACUAAGAAAAACUGGAGAGUUGCAGCAAAUAUUUGCUAGAGAAGUCUUGGCUCCAUGGUAUACUGCAUCAUUAGUAAGUAAAUGCACUUCUUUUGGAUGUGGAAAAACAAGAAGACUUGUUAGAAAACAUGUAAUUUCACAAAUGAGUCAGGAAUGCGCCUUUGCUCAAAAUGACACCUGGAAUUAACUGCGGCUCUCUUAAGAGAUCAAUGAACAAAUGUCGAGGGUUUGGGAUUUGUGGCAGAGUCAACCAGGCAGAAGACUUUGAUGUUGGCAAAAAGUAAUGCCUCCAAGACAGAUCUUUUAAUUGCCUAAACAUUAGGAGCAAGCUGUCUCCUUGUUGAUAAAAGCUGUUAUUUGGUGUCUGGAUA